AUCCUGCUGCUGCUGUCUGGCUUCUCAUCCACCCAGUUCCCUUCGGCUCACCUGGCAGGUGUGGCCAAUAUGCCUUGAUUGGCAGGUGGUGCCCAUUUAAGCCAGAGGCGGCCACACCAAGCCAGGCAGGGAGCAGAGCAGCAGGCUGGGUGGUGGUGAUUGGUUUGGUGAUUGGUUUGGUGAUUGGUUUGGUGAUUGGUUUGGUGAUUGGUUUGGUGAUUGGUUUGGUGAUUGGUUUGGUGACCUUUGUUACUUUUCGGCCUCACACAACAUAUGGGGGCUCGUUCCAGAUCUGUUUAUCCCUCUGUCUGUGUUUGUCCCAUGUAGCCAGGUGCAUUUUGUUUGGGGUGAUGCAUAGUUGGUGGUGUGGCUUCUACAGCCUGUAUCGCCCCAGGUUUUCGUUCUGCCCUGGUUUCUGUCCGCAUCAAUGGUGUCAGUACUCGUUUUGGGGUGUGUUUCUCUUUUAUUUGUUCCUCGUGCUGCCACUUUGUUGCAGUCUUCAGGGUGUGGCAGUACUUGUUUGAGGGCCACAGCUGGUACCUCGUGCUGUCAUGUUGACCCUUUAGGCUGUGGCAGUACUCGUGUGGGGGAACAUAGUUUGAGCCUCGUGCUGCCACCCUGGUUAAGCCUUUGAGCUGUGGCAGUACUCGUAUAAGGGGCAUUUCUUUUAGUACCUCGUACUGACACUCGUAAUGGACCUUUGGGACUUACACCAGUAUGGGUGCACAUUUUCUUUUGGACACCAGUGUAUGGUUUAUUUUUGUAGUUUGCUGCCCCUGCCUCACUCACAUUUUGGGUGUAAUUCUUGUUUGUGUUUGUAGCACCUUUGUUAUUUGUUGUGAACAUGUUUGCUUUGUUUUGCAGUGAGCUCAUCACAGAGCUCACGGAUUGCAAUGCCAACGACCCACCUCCGCCAUCCUGCCCAGCCGAUCGGAUCUAUGUCCCACCUACUCAUCGACAGCGGGUGCUACACCUGGUGCACGACACUCCUGCGGCUGGGCAUCCAGUGCAUCUUAGGAAUUCAACCACCAUUUUUUUUUUCCCUGGUCCGGGGAGUCCUCGGAGUUGCCUGCAGUGGACGACUGGUUUCAACGUUGCGAGGAGACAUGGAGAGCUGCUCAUGUGCAACUACAACACGCCGUUCGUCGCUCACAAGUUCAGGCUGAUCGACAUCGCCGUGCGGGCCCUAACCUAGUACCAGGUCAAUGGGUCUGGCUUUCUACCCGGGAUCUCCGUCUGAGGCUACCGUGCCGGAAGCUCAGCCCCAGGUUUGUGGGACCAUUCCAGAUUCUACGUCAAAUCACUCCUGUGUCCUUCCGUCUUCAACUUCCUCCAGAAUAUCGGAUCUCGCCCACCUUCCACAUCUCUCUGCUGAAGCUCGCCACGGGACCUCUCGAUGACGCUCCACCCUCUGGGUCCACUGACUCCGGAGCGACCCCUGUCAUGGUGGACGGAGAGGAGAUCCUGGAGUCUCGGCGCCGGAAUGGUCAACUCCAGUACCUGGUGGACUGGGAGGGGUACGGCCCGGAGGAGCGUUCCUGGGUGGCUCAUGAUGAUAUUCUCGAUCCCUCGUUGACUGCGGACUUCCAUCGGGAACGUUCGGACAGACCUGCCCCUCGUUGUCGUGGUCGUCCUCGGCGCCGAUCGGCCUGUCGCUUCCGGAGCCGCUCGCAGGGAGGGGGAUCUGUCAUGGUUCAGCCUGCUACCUCCUCCUUCAACCACCAGAGGGAACUCUCAUCUGAGUUUUGACCACCUCAUCUACCUUCACUCAGGACUCUGAUCAUCCUCAGCUGUUUUCCAUCUGCUCAUCACCACCACAGUAUUUAGUCUGGUUUCUUUCCACAGCUCACUGUGCAGUCUUGUUUGUCCUACAUCCAUUUCUGAACGUUUAUGCCUGUUAGAUCCUCUGGUUUCCGACUCCUGCCUACCUCCUCGACUCCCUGUUUGCCUGUGUCCUGACCUGCCUGUAUUUUGACCUUGCCUUGCCUCAGCCUGUGUCCCCCAUUAAAACCACGUUUGCAUAUGGA